UAGUUCUCUGCGAGAGAGAUCGGAAUUCCGACGCCGAAGGAGCAACCGCCCCGGAAACUCUCAGGCAAAAGAAUCGCAGUGAAGGU
rnacentral:ncRNA from 1 species